AACAUGAUAUUUAGUCGGAAGAACUUUAUCUUCAAUAAGUGUAUCAACAUUAUUCUGUUUUCUCUUUAAUAUUUUGGUUCGGGCACCUUCAAGAAUCGAGCAAUGUCGAUCGACGAACAGUUUCACAUGCAAGUGCAGCAGGGAGGGAAGAUGUCGUACCCCAUGUCACCACCAUCGAUGAAGGUAACAUCAUCAUCAUGCUCCGGUUUUAU
rnacentral:misc_RNA from 1 species